CUUCAACCACAAACGUUUGUAUCAACAUUUUUACUUUUAUUCUACUUUGAGAUACAAAAUGUAGCCACUCUCCUUCAUUUAUACUCCAAGUAUGAUUACCAGCCUAUAGAGGAACAAAUGUUUCUGCCAGGAAGUUAUUCCACUCAUUUUAUGUUGACGUGGAUGCUAAAAAUGUCAGCUUACCCUCUCCUUCCAAGCAGUAAAGGAAGUUUCAAUGGGUGAUACCAUUCUAGUCAGGUAAGGGGGGUCAAUGAAUACACUCUACCAUUUUACUGUUAGCGUUACGUUAGCAUUCCAGAGGUGGAUGAAGAUUGCUAUAGCUCUUUUUAAAUACCAGUCUUUUAGAAAUAUAUGAUUUUACUGUGUGGACAUUAUGCUCAACU